GAAGCAGGUGAUGACAAUCAGACAGGGACAUCAGAGCCAUCUAAUGGGUUAUGAUAGACCAAGUCUAUAAUGGGAAUCUCUCUGAUGUUUC
rnacentral:snoRNA from 1 species